CUGGCUCAGGAUGAACGCUAGCUACAGGCUUAACACAUGCAAGUCGAGGGGCAGCAGGAAUCUAGCUUGCUAGAUUGCUGGCGACCGGCGCACGGGUGAGUAACGCGUAUCCAACCUUCCCCAUAGUAGAGGAUAGCCCGGCGAAAGUCGGAUUAAUACUCUAUGUUGUAUUUUUGAGGACAUCUGACGAAUACCAAAGAUUGAUCGCUAUGGGAUGGGGAUGCGUCUGAUUAGGUUGUUGGCGGGGUAACGGCCCACCAAGCCGACGAUCAGUAGGGGUUCUGAGAGGAAGGUCCCCCACAUUGGUACUGAGACACGGACCAAACUCCUACGGGAGGCAGCAGUGAGGAAUAUUGGUCAAUGGGCGAGAGCCUGAACCAGCCAAGUGGCGUGCAGGACGACUGCCCUAUGGGUUGUAAACUGCUUUUAUAGGGGAAUAAAGUCCACUACGUGUAGUGGUUUGUAUGUACCCUAUGAAUAAGGACCGGCUAAUUCCGUGCCAGCCGCCGC
rnacentral:rRNA from 1 species